AUUGAACGCUGGCGGCAGGCCUAACACAUGCAAGUCGAACGGUAGCAGGAUGUGCUUGCACAUCGCUGACGAGUGGCGGACGGGUGAGUAAUGCUUGGGAACUUGCCUUUGCGAGGGGGAUAACAGUUGGAAACGACUGCUAAUACCGCAUAAUGUCUACGGACCAAACGGGGCUUUUAGCUCCGGCGCAAAGAGAGGCCCAAGUGAGAUUAGCUAGUUGGUAAGGUAAAGGCUUACCAAGGCGACGAUCUCUAGCUGUUCUGAGAGGAAGAUCAGCCACACUGGGACUGAGACACGGCCCAGACUCCUACGGGAGGCAGCAGUGGGGAAUAUUGCACAAUGGGGGAAACCCUGAUGCAGCCAUGCCGCGUGUGUGAAGAAGGCCUUCGGGUUGUAAAGCACUUUCAGUUGUGAGGAAAGGUUGGUAGUUAAUACCUGCCAGCUGUGACGUUAACAACAGAAGAAGCACCGGCUAACUCCGUG
rnacentral:rRNA from 1 species